rnacentral:lncRNA from 1 species
ACAAAGAUAGAGACACAGAGACAAGUCAAAGAGACAGAGACAGAGACACAGAGAGACAGAGACAAGACAGAGAGACAGAGAUAGACACAGAGACAGAGAAAGAGACAGAGAGAGACAACACAGAGAGACAGAGACACAGAGAGACAGAGACAGAGACAAGACAGAGACAAGACAGAGAGUCAGAGAGAGACAGAGACAAGACAGACAGAAACAAGACAGAGACAGAGAGACACAGAUUAGACAGACAGAGAGAGAGACAGAGACAGAGACAGAGACAAAGAGACAAAGAUAGAGACACAGAGAGACAAGACAGAGAUACAGAGAGACAGAGACAGAGAAAAGACAGAAAGACAGAGACAAGACAGAGAGAGAAUCAGAGAGAGACAUAGACAAAGACAAGACAGAGACAGAGAAAAGACACAGAGACAGAGACAGAGAGAGACACACAGAUAGAGAGACAGAGAGGGACAGAGAGAGAGAGAGAGGCAGGCACAAGACAGAAAG